GAAUUUGUUCAAGGGGGGACCCUCUGAUCUAUCAAUGGAAAGAUCUUCAUGUGUGGCGCGAUAAGGAAUCCUAGAAAAGAUCAAUUGAGACUCCCUCCACGGUCCCACGAAGAUCUCUACGUACUUGUCCAGGACAAGUGAGAUCUUCGGUCUGCGUGCCUGGGAGCAGCUCAAACAAAGAAGAGUCUGGUCCGGUCUGAAUUCAGGCACGGCCCGCCCGUCUGCUGCUAGGUCCGGAAAUGGCGCCGGGCGAGGGCGCCGCUAUGCCCCUUAAU
rnacentral:lncRNA from 1 species